GCUCUGGUGGCCUAAUGGUUAGAGCGUCCGCCUCGGAUGCGGGGGUUCGUUGGUUCGAUCCACCAAAGACG